rnacentral:rRNA from 1 species
GGGGCUAAACCAUGCACCGAAGCUGCGGCAGCGACACUCAGGUGUUGUUGGGUAGGGGAGCGUUCUGUAAGCCUGCGAAGGUGGCCUGUGAGGGUUGCUGGAGGUAUCAGAAGUGCGAAUGCUGACAUAAGUAACGAUAAAGCGGGUGAAAAGCCCGCUCGCCGGAAGACCAAGGGUUCCUGUCCAACGUUAAUCGGGGCAGGGUGAGUCGACCCCUAAGGCGAGGCCGAAAGGCGUAGUCGAUGGGAAACGGGUUAAUAUUCCCGUACUUGGUGUUACUGCGAAGGGGGGACGGAGAAGGCUAUGUUGGCCGGGCGACGGUUGUCCCGGUUUAAGCGUGUAGGUGUGUGUUCCAGGUAAAUCCGGUUCACUUUAACACUGAGGCGUGAUGACGAGGCACUACGGUGCUGAAGCAACAAAUGCCCUGCUUCCAGGAAAAGCCUCUAAGCAUCAGGUAACAUCAAAUCGUACCCCAAACCGACACAGGUGGUCAGGUAGAGAAUACCAAGGCGCUUGAGAGAACUCGGGUGAAGGAACUAGGCAAAAUGGUGCCGUAACUUCGGGAGAAGGCACGCUGACACGUAGGUGAAGUGAUUUACUCAUGGAGCUGAAGUCAGUCGAAGAUACCAGCUGGCUGCAACUGUUUAUUAAAAACACAGCACUGUGCAAACACGAAAGUGGACGUAUACGGUGUGACGCCUGCCCGGUGCCGGAAGGUUAAUUGAUGGGGUCAGCGCAAGCGAAGCUCCUGAUCGAAGCCCCGGUAAACGGCGGCCGUAACUAUAACGGUCCUAAGGUAGCGAAAUUCCUUGUCGGGUAAGUUCCGACCUGCACGAAUGGCGUAAUGAUGGCCAGGCUGUCUCCACCCGAGACUCAGUGAAAUUGAACUCGCUGUGAAGAUGCAGUGUACCCGCGGCAAGACGGAAAGACCCCGUGAACCUUUACUAUAGCUUGACACUGAACAUUGAGCCUUGAUGUGUAGGAUAGGUGGGAGGCUUUGAAGCGUGGACGCCAGUCUGCGUGGAGCCGACCUUGAAAUACCACCCUUUAAUGUUUGAUGUUCUAACGUGGACCCGUGAUCCGGGUUGCGGACAGUGUCUGGUGGGUAGUUUGACUGGGGCGGUCUCCUCCUAAAGAGUAACGGAGGAGCACGAAGGUUGGCUAAUCCUGGUCGGACAUCAGGAGGUUAGUGCAAUGGCAUAAGCCAGCUUGACUGCGAGCGUGACGGCGCGAGCAGGUGCGAAAGCAGGUCAUAGUGAUCCGGUGGUUCUGAAUGGAAGGGCCAUCGCUCAACGGAUAAAAGGUACU